ACUAGUCUAUCUGAUGUUCAAUUGUUAUAUGGAUAACUGUGGAAAAUCUAGAGCUAAUACAUGCGUCAAGACCCAACUUCACGGACGGGUUGUAUUUAUUAGAUACAGAACCAAUACCCUCGGGUUUUUGGAUGAUUCAUAAUAAACGAACGGAGCGCGUUGGCUUGUGCCGGCGCUAUAUCACUCGAGGUUCUGACCUAUCAGCUUUCGACGGUAGGGUAUUGGCCUACCGUGGCGGUGACGGGUAACGGAGAAUUAGGGUUCGAUUCCGGAGAGGGAGCCCGAGAAACGGCUACCACA
rnacentral:rRNA from 1 species